CUUUCGCCAGGCAUUUUCCCUCACUCAUAAGCCUAAAACCCAAGCUAGCGCCAAAAUCUUCUGAAAAUUGAUCAAAAAAUCUAAGAAAAAUCCACUAUUUGGCGUUAAUUUGUUUUCUCCGGAAUCGGAGCAACUUGUGAGGUGCGACGGAAAAGCGGAAAAGUGGAAAAGUGGAACACACACACACACAGUAGCACACGUGCUGGAGCUUAAAGAGCCCCCGUAAAUUAUGCAGAGCCACAGAGGAAGAAAGGAGCCGGAGUCCAGGACGGAAGAGCCAACUGUGGAGUGGGAGUGGAAGUGGGAGUGGGAGUGGGAGGAGCAGCAGCUCGACGCGACUAAUAAACUCAACUUAGCUGGCAUAAAAAAUAUCCAUGCAAAUUAAUUAAAUAUUUACAGUUUACUGACAUAAGCCGAGGACACAAGCGAGUGGCGAUGGAGAUGGAUGGAGGUGGAUGGGAAGGAGGAGAAGAAAAGCGCCGGGAGGAAAAGCUGGAAAACGAGAAGGAAGCUGGAGUAGUGAACUUUCCGCUGAAUUGCAAAAAUAUGCAAAGUUCUGAAACGAUGAAGUACUUGGCCGGGAUUCAUGCCAUUCAACGCCUGAUGACUCUGACACUUGAUGAGCCGAAAGUAAAAGAUGUUUUUUAAUAUUUUAGCAAGCAGCACACACAAGUACUUUUUUGGUUUAGUUAAAAGUUGAACGUAAAGACCGAGAAACGCCACUCAAAGUGCCAAAUUUCACGCCACUUGAAGGAUCUGCAGCAUCAGUAUAUAUAUAUAUAUAUAUAUAUAUAUAUAUCUAUAUAUAUAUGUGUGUGUGUAUGUGUAUGUGUAUAAUUUCAGGCUUUCCAUUUCGAAUUCCAUUCCACAAAUUCCACAAAAAGAAUGAAUGAAUGAACUGAAACCCCUUGUCUGCAUUUUUGGCAGAAAGCAGACAGAACCCCCUUUGACAUAUUUGUGAUCUAUCAAAAAGCAAUUCACUCAACCAGACCAUCAGCAUUCAUUUGGAUUCCAUCCUACCGUCCAUCCAUCCAUCCAUCCAUCAAUCAAUCAAUCAAUCAAUCAUUAUGCUCAUCAAAAUUAGCAACAUCAAGCGGUAAACGGAACAAAUGAAAUGCCUCGCCGGCAACUCUCUGCCAGAAAGCAGAAAAUGUUUUGCAUUAAAAUUAAUUACAGCAAGAUCUCAGUCUCUAUUGUCCAAAAAAUCAUCAACACGAUGAUGAAUACAAAUUACACAUGCCGGGAAAAAUGGCCAGAAAAUAUGGAAAACAAAAUGGAACAGAAAGGGUUCUCAGCAGCACCCCAGCAGCACACACACCAUACACCAUACACCAUGCCCUCGGCGACAAUAACAACUAAAAAUCCAUCAACACACGCCCAAUUGCUACAAAAAAUCACUGGGGCCAUGGGCCGAUGGGCCGAUCAGGGGGCUUAUUUUUUAUUUAUUUUUAUACAAACACCUUUCGGUGUUCCCCAGCGAGGAGGAAUUGGAAAUCGAAACCGAAUUUUGAAUUUUCUUUCUUUUUCGUAAGGGGAAAUAAUAGGAAUAAUAUAAGAAAUAGUAUUACUCUUAGUUCUAUUAGUAGAAGUAUUAUAAUUUAGUAUUUUUGGUAUACGAUACCAGGUACUUCUUCAAAAAUUAAUUUAAUCUCUAUAAUUAACCUUAAAGAUCAGGUUCUCAACUCGAAUACUAAACUUAUCACUAUUAUUAUACGAUACCUGGUACUUUUCUCAUUUUCUACCUCUUUGGUUUUUGUUUCCUGGUAUUAUUCUUAAAAAUCAACUAUAUUGAACAUAUAUUCUUGGUUCCUAUUUCAAAUAUUUCUCAUUUAAGUCCAAGACUAUAAGAUACCUGCUACUUUUCUGUCUUUUAUCUCAAAUAUAACCAAAGUUAUGACCUAGACCAGGGAUGCCCAGUCCCAUUGCUCUCGUUCCUCCUUUGUUGUUGGAUUGCUCUGUCAUAUGGGUAGAGCAAAAUCAUAUACGUGUGCUGCUCCCAGUAUAGGCAAGGCAAAUUACAAUAACAAUUUUUCGUAGUUUAAUAACACUUAAACAGUUUCAACACUUUUCUGGCAUUUUGUUGUUGGAUUGCCGAAAACUUUUCACUGCAAAAAAGCACUUCUUGUUGUGGUUUUGGACAGAAUGGUUGACUGUGGAACGAUGCAUUUUUUCUUUGUCGAAAAUUUUCUUUGCGAGCAGCAAUGUAUUAUAUGUAAUAUAAUAAUAAGCGGAAA